rnacentral:rRNA from 11 species
GGGCUGGAGCAGGUCCCAAGGGUAUGGCUGUUCGCCAUUUAAAGUGGUACGCGAGCUGGGUUCAGAACGUCGUGAGACAGUUCGGUCCCUAUCUACCGUGGGCGUUGGAAAUUUGAGAGGAUCUGCUCCUAGUACGAGAGGACCAGAGUGGACGAACCUCUGGUGUACCGGUUGUGACGCCAGUCGCAUCGCCGGGUAGCUAUGUUCGGAAGGGAUAACCGCUGAAAGCAUCUAA